CUAAAAUGUGUAUAGAAUCUGGAAACAACUUGGUGGCAUAUGGAUGGACAGAAUGAUGGAGAAAGGUAAUGUCAUUGUAAUUUUUCGAAGUUGCACUAUUUCGAAACCUAUGUAUUUUCACUGCUCGGGCAAAUUUCUUAUUUCAUUUCUAAUAUUAUUGAAGCAAGAUUUCCAUGAACAUUUGAACAAUACUCAAAAUUAAUAUUGUCAUUUAAUAUGAUGCAGGAAAAGAGGUUGUGGAAGUAUUGGACAAUGAAGUUUUAGUAGAAUCCAAUAAUAACAACAAUACGGAGAAUGUCGUCAAUAAUACAAACAAUGUUGUCACAUUAGACGAUGAUAUCAUAGGAGGAGAUGGCGUGAUUGUGCCAAAUUGGUAUGGAGUUCAAAGAUGAGAAAGAGGUGUAUGAGUUUUAUAAGAGGUAUGCGUAUCACGUAGGUUUUCCGGUUAGGAGGAAGAAUUCUAGAAAGGGAGAAGAUGGAGUAGUGAAUUACGUUACGUUGACAUGUUGUCGUGAGGGCUGGAGAAGUAGUAAUGCAGGUGCUUCUUUGAAGCCGCAUCCAACAAUUCAGACAGGUUGCAAAGAAAGACUUACUGCUACUUCGAUAUUCGUCGAAUUUGGAAAAUUCGCACAAUUGAUCUCAAACACAAUCAUAAAACUAGUCCUUCAAAAUCCAGAUUGUAUCGUUGCAAUCGAGAAUUGAGUGCAAAUGUCAAACGCAAGCUCGAAGUGAACGAUAUGACUGGAAUACCUUUGCACAAGAGUUACAACUCAUCAGUUGUUGAAGCAGACGGGUAUGAGAACAUGACUUGCGUGGAAAAAGAUUGUCAAAAUUACAUUGAACAAGUGAGGCGAUUAAGACUCGGUGAAGGAGAUGUUGCGACAAUACAAUCCUACCUUUCACAAAUGCAAGCACAGUGCUUAGGUUUUUACUUCUAUAUGGAUUUAGAUGAAGAGUCACGGAUUAGGAAUCUCUUCUGGGCAGAUAAGAAGUGUAGGCAAGCAUAUAAGGAGUUCGGGGAUGCAGUGACGUUUGAUACCACUUAGCUCACAAAUAAAUACGGCAUGCCUUUUGCCCCCUUCCUUGGAGUAAGUCAUCAUGGACAAUCAACACUCUUUGGAUGUGGUUUGUUGGCAAAUGAAGAUACAUAUACAUUUGUUUGGCUAUUCAGGACAUGGAUGUAGUGUAUGCAUGGUCAAGCACCAAAUGGAAUCAUUACCGAUCAAGACAAGACUAUGCAAAAUGCAAUUGCGAUAGUCUUUCCAAAGUCGAGGUAUAGAUGGUGUUUGUGGCAUAUAUUGAAAAAGUUGCCGGAGAAGUUUGGGUACCACGUUCAGAAGGGCUCCAUUUUUUUGUCUAUACAUAGCUUAGUGUAUGAUACACAAGUCGUUGAGGAAUUCUAAGAAGGUUGGAAAGCUAUGCUUGAUACAUAUAACUUACAUAAGAAUGAUUGGUUGUUGGGGUUGUUUGAGAACAAGGGUCGUUGGGUGCCAUGUUAUUUAAAAACAACAUUUUAGGCGGAGAUGUCAAUAACUCAGCGCAGUGAGAGUAUGAAUGUGUUCUUCGAUGGUUAUGUGCAUUCUAAGAUAUCGUUGAAAUAGUUCGUCGAACAAUAUAAGCGAGCAUUACGAAAUAAAUUUGAGAAGGAAUUCCAAACAAAUUUCAAGUCUUACUCAUAGAUGGUAUUCUGUGCAACAAAAUAUGAAAUGGAAAAGCAAUUCCAGGUUGUUUAUACCAUUUCAAAAUUUUGGGGAUUUCAAGAUGAGAUAACUGGGAAUGUCUACUGCGAUAUGAUAUCUGCAUUUGAUAUAUGUUCGGAGAAGUUGUAUGAGGUUGAGGAGGAUGUCAUUUACAAAGAAAAUGUUAGAAAGAAAAAGUUUUCAGUCACAUUUCGAGCAGAGGAUUGCAAUGUUAUUUGCAGUUGCCACUUAUUCAAGUUUCGUAGCAUUUUGUGUAGACAUGACAUAUCAGUGUUGAUGCGUCAUGGCGUCACAUCACUAUUGGAGAGGAACAUAUUGAAGAGAUGGAGACGAGAUAUUAGUAGAGCCCACACGAGGGUUGUUGUGAAUUACUCCGGUUUGGUUAGCACUCCUAGCCAGUUGAGGUAUGAUAAAAUGGGUGAAGUGUUCGCGAUGUUGGCAAACAGUGCUGCCAACGAUGAAGAGCGAACUCGUGCGAUAAUAGAUUGGAUUCAAUCGUAGUCCAAAGACAUGAUGUCUACGAAGACGAGUUGGGUAAGUAAUAGCAUUUCGCAAUCUAAUUUGCAUUUAGGUUCGCAGCCUAGUUUGCAUUUAGAUUCACAAUCUAGAGCAUCACAUGACACUGGCAGUGGUACAAUACAAAAUCCUAAAUGUUCAAAAAGAAAGGAUGCACCAAAGAAACUUCGUCAUAAAAGCUCAUUGGAGUCAAGCUCAAAGGAAAAAAAAUGUUAUUUUUCUUUCACACAUUUUUAUCAUGUGUCGUACAUAAAUUUGAACGAAGUGAAAAUGUCAAUUAUUCUCAUGUCAUGCAGGCAGCAUCGACUUCCAGCAAAGGAUAGAGAUCGAGAGCAGCAAAAAACAAUCUUCGACCCGACACACCAUUCGUUCAGUCCUCGCCACAUGUACAAUAUUCAAUGAUGA
rnacentral:lncRNA from 1 species